ensembl:snRNA U1 U1 spliceosomal RNA
AUACUUACCUGGCAGGGGAGAUACCAUGAUCACAAAGGUGGUUUUCCCAGGGCUAGGUCUGUCCUUUGCAGCCUGGAUGUGCUGACCACUGUGAUUUCCCCAAAUGUAGGAAACUCAACCACAUAAUUUGUGGUAGUGGGGGACUGUGUAUGCACUCUCCUCUA